rnacentral:rRNA from 1 species
CGCGUAGGUAACCUGCCUGGUAGCGGGGGAUAACUAUUGGAAACGAUAGCUAAUACCGCAUAAGAGUAGAUGUUGCAUGACAUUUGCUUAAAAGGUGCAAUUGCAUCACUACCAGAUGGACCUGCGUUGUAUUAGCUAGUUGGUGGGGUAACGGCUCACCAAGGCGACAAUACAUAGCCGACCUGAGAGGGUGAUCGGCCACACUGGGACUGAGACACGGCCCAG